GCAUAUCAAUAAGCGGAGGAAAAGAAACCAACAGGGAUUGCCCUAGUAACGGCGAAGUGAAGCGGCAACAGCUCAAAUUUGAAAUCUGGCGCAAGCCCGAGUUGUAAUUUGUAGAGGAUGUUUCUGGCGAAGUGCCUUCCGAGUUCCCUGGAACGGGACGCCAUAGAGGGUGAGAGCCCCGUACGGUUGGAUGCCUAGCCUCUGUGAAACUCCUUCGACGAGUCGAGUAGUUUGGGAAUGCUGCUCUAAAUGGGAGGUAUACGUCUUCUAAAGCUAAAUACCGGCCAGAGACCGAUAGCGCACAAGUAGAGUGAUCGAAAGAUGAAAAGCACUUUGAAAAGAGGGUUAAAAAGUACGUGAAAUUGUUGAAAGGGAAGCGUUCAUGACCAGACUUGGGCAGGUUGAUCAUCCGUGGUUCUCCGCGGUGCACUCUGCCUGCCCAGGCCAGCAUCAGUUCGCCCCGGGGGAUAAAGGUUUCGGGAAUGUGGCUCCUCCGGGAGUGUUAUAGCCCGUUGCGCAAUACCCUGGGGCGGACUGAGGUUCGCGCUCCGCAAGGAUGCUGGCGUAAUGGUCAUCAACGACCCGUCUUGAAACACGGACCAAGGAGUCGUCUUCGUAUGCGAGUGUUCGGGUGUCAAACCCCUACGCGUAAUGAAAGUGAACGUAGGAGAGAGCUUCGGCGCAUCUCCGACCGAUCCUGAUGUUCUCGGAUGGAUUUGAGUAAGAGCAUACGGGGCCGGACCCGAAAGAAGGUGAACUAUGCCUGUAUAGGGUGAAGCCAGAGGAAACUWCUGGUGGAGGCUCGCAGCGGYUUCUGACGUGCAAAUCGAUCGUCAAAUAAUGGGCAUGGGGGGCGAAAGACUAAUCGAACCUUCUAGUAGCUGGUUUCCGCG
rnacentral:rRNA from 1 species